rnacentral:lncRNA from 1 species
CCCGGACGGGCCCGUAAACCGAGGCCGUCCUCUAGAAGUCCCAGAAGAAUCUGCCGGCCCGGUUUGACGGAGGGAGUUCCCCCGACACCAAUGAAAUCACAGAUCUUGAUAAAAUGAUAAAAACGGGCGUUUUUGAAGGUCCGUUUUGCAGACCUCUGCGUUUCCUUUCCAGGCAUUUUACUGCGGACUUCAGCUCCCUUCCUUGUGAAACUAAAAAUGAGGGGAGCAGGACUAGUGGUCUCGCACUGUCUGUUGACAUAUAAAAACUACAAUCUUGUAAUUCUCUGAUGAGGAAUAAAAGAGAAAAAAUAUGAGCUGGGGCCCAGAAUCCCAGCGUUCCUGCUCACCCCAAAUCUCAAUUUCCCUUCUAUACCAGGUGGGAAAACAACAGCACGGGUGUUUCCAGAAGAAAGCGGAGCGUGUUGACACUGGGACAAAGAACAUGGAAGGACGGCGGGAAACAAGCGCUUAUUAAGCACUUAAUAAGUCUAGCACUUAGUGUGUCCCUGGCGCUGUCUUAAGGGCUUUACAAAUAUUGUCUCAUUUGUUCUUUACAAAGACCUUGAGAAGGAGGCGACAUCUCCAUUUUACAAUUAAGAAAACUGAGGGAGAGCUAUGUUAAAUGACUUGUCCAGGUUCACACAGCUAAAAAGUUUAAAACUAUAUUUGAUGAUGAUUGUUGGAGGGGAUGCGGGAAAACUGGGACAUUGAUGCAUUGUUGGUGGAGUUGUGAACGAGUCCAACCAUUCUGGAGAGUAGUUUGGAACUAUGCUCAAAAAGUUAUCAAACUGUGCAUACCCUUUGAUCCAGCAGUGUUACUACUGGGCUUAUAACCCAAAGAGAUUAUAAAGAAGGGAAAGGGACCUGUAUGUGCACGAAUGUUUGUGGCAGCCCUUUUUGUAGUGGCCAGAAACUGGAAACUGAGUUGGAGAAUCCAUCAAUUGGAGAAUGGCUGAAUAAAUCGUGGUAUAUGAAUAUUAUGGAAUAUUACUGUUCUGUAAGAAAUGACCAACAGGAUAAUUUCAGAAAGGUCUGGAGAGACUUACACGAACUGAUGCUGAGUGAAACGAGCAGGGCCAGGAGAUCAUUAUAUAUUUCAACAACAAUACUAUAUGAUGACCAGUUCUGAUGGACCAGGCCAUCCUCAGCAACGAGAUCAACCAAAUCAUUUCCAAUGGAGCAG